GUUGCCCAAGAAGGUCUCAAAUUCUUGGACUCAAAUGAUCCUCCCACCUGGGCCUUCCAAAGUACUGAGAUUACAGAUGUGAGUCAGUGUACCUGGCCUGGAAAUAACAGUUUUAAAGCCAUCCUCUUAAAAUGAAAGUUAUUGUGGCAACUUUUUAAAGACAGGUUGAAAAGAGAGGAAACUUGAGAUAACAUCAUGAAUAGAUAAUUAUGGUAUCCCUAGUGAAAGAGAAAAUGAACACCUGAAACAAGGCAAAGAAGCCAAAGACAAACUUGAAGCUAACCAUAUAAGUUAUCCAAAAUGGGACCUAUUUAAGAGUCAAAUAAGGCACUAUUAAUAAUUACUCCAGCAUAUCAAAAUACCAUAUUGUACCCCAUAAAUACAAGUUGUCAACUAAAAAUAUUUAUUUUUAAUUCAUGAGAAAGAGAGAUAAGAAGAAGAAAAACAUUCCUCCAGGACAAAUCUGGGCAGGAGAGGAGUUGCGGUAACUAGAUAUGAGGAGAAGGAGAGGAAGGAGACAGCAGUUGGAGCUUGCCGCCUGGAAGAAUGCUGGCAUGAUACAAAAGAGAAAGAGACGGGAUGGUGUGAAACAUUUCACGUUGUUAAUUAUGAAGUAUGUUUUGAAUCAGCUCAAUGUUACCUAGAAAUGACACUCAGAUACUGUGUUCAGACAGGGGACAAUAUGUGUUUUCAGUGAUAGCAGUGGAGGCGAAGGGUUGUCAGCUUAAGGGGCAGUUGGUAAUUCUGACAUCAUCAAACAAAUUUAGUAGCAAAACUUGACCAGCAUUUGUGAAUAGUGAAGCUUUUUUUGCUGACCAACUGCUGAUGUUUACAUUGGGCAAUUAUAAUAGGUAACUGAAUGUCAUUAAUGACCUUUAUAUCCAAAAUAACUCAUGGAUGAAUGUAGUGAACAUUAAGUAUUACUAAUAGAAAAAAAGGCAAGUCUUCAUUAAUGUACCAAAUUGGCAGAAUGAUCAUCAAUAUUUCUGCCUAGUCUUUGCCUCAGUUACACAUCUUUGUUUUUUAUUUUAUGUUUUUAGAGACAAGGUCUCACUAUGCUGCCCAGGCUGGACUUGAACUCCUCAGUACAAGCGAUCCUCCUGCCUGAGCCUCCUGAAAAGCUGCGACUAGAGGCCUGCACCACCAUGCCCUGCUCUAGUUACACAAAUCUUAAAAUGAUGCUCUUAUGUUAAUUCAAUCAAGAAAGUAAACUAAGUCUAUGAUCCAAUCACAUACCUGUGACUCAAUUCAUGUUGUUGUUUUUAAUCCUGAAAUGAUACUGUAAAAUAAGGGCAUUGCCUUAAAGUUUUUAUUUUUUACUCAGUUUUUACAUUUGAGGUAAGAAGGCAAGUGGCAGGGAAGAAUGAUUAGCAAUAAAGCUUUUUAAAAGUUCUUCAGAAACAGAAGGCAAUUGGUUGAGUCAAACUGACCGAUAGUGACUAUUCCCAGGAAUUUCCUAAUUCUUCCUCCUUUGAAAGGAAUUUUAACUGCCUUAUGCCAUGUAAAGAAUGCUGCUAUUUUCAGUUUAUUUCAAAGAUAGCCUACAGAUAAGAAUCAAACUGGAGAACUUAAAGAUGUUGUAACUUUACAUGGUCUUUUCUUAGAAAGCUAUGUAGGAUACAGUGCCAAGAAAAAUCAUAAGCCUGAUACCAUGAAAAAGGCACCCUGUUAAUAUGCCCACAACAUUAUCAGCAAGCUACAUAACAUCCCUGGACCUUAGUUUCAUUGUACUUUUAACUAAAUAUAUAUCAGAGCCCUUAACACAAGCCUGUUUCUAAAAUACUGAACACUAGUUGUUAUAACUAAGUAUGUUCUAAACAUCUGCUUUUUCUGUCUCAUACCUUGAUCUAGUCUGUUCCCUCCACCUAGAAUGUCUUUUCCUUCCUUUUCCCACAUAGCAAUCUUUGACAUAUCCUUGAAGACCGAGAUUUCCCAUGACCCUGGGAGGUCUGGCCUGAUACAGAAGACUGGUCAGCACAUCUUUCUCUGUUGCCAUAGUGUGGGAUUUUUGUCUGUUUUCAGCAGAUGGUUCCAGACUGCAAGCUUCUGGAGGGCAGUGACUCAAUCCCAUUCAGCUCCAUAUGCUCACUACCAGCAUGGCACGCACUGGGGGUGUCCACGAAUACGUAGAAGCUUUCAGGGUUUGGCCAAUUUUAAUUUUCCUUAGCAUGUAUUAUUAUAAAGUGAUAUAAGUAUGAUAUGCCUGCAUCUGUCUUAUUACUACAUCUAUUUGUUAGUAAAAGGAGGUUACAUGGUGCCUUAGUGGUUUCUUUGCACUUAAAUAUUUUUGAAAUUACUUGGUUCUUGGCUGGGAACUGAAUUCAGUAUGUCUUGUUAAAGUAUUUCUUAUUUGUUGCCACCUCUACAAUAGUGCCAUAAUUUCCAAAUUGAUAUUACAUGUGACAUCUUUAUUCUCACAAUCCUGAGAGGUAUGUAGAGCGAGAAUUAAGUUCUACAUUUAACAAAAGAGAAAACAUACAGAGGUUGAUAGGCUCUAGAUUAUGUAGCUAACUGGUAACAAACCAAUCUUUAUUAAAACUAAUUUUAAAAAUUCAACUGUUUUCAAGUUUGUCUUACUUAAAUGAUGAACAUUGCAUGUCUUUUUCUUGCAUGUAGUUUAUAUUUAGGAGAAACAGUUUCCCUAGCAGUAGUUCUGAAACCAAGUAAAAGUCAUUGGGUUAUGAAGGUCUUCUAUCUUCAACUAGUUGUCAACUUUAAACUCAACAGUUUAAUAGUUAAAUUUAAACUUUACAUUUGUUUAAUUUAGCAAUGUUUCUUCACAUUAAUCAAUUUUUAAAGUAGGAAAGUAAUAAAUGACAAAAAAUGGAAGAACAUUUAUUAAAGAUAGAAAAAUAAAAUGUUUAAUGGUUUUGUACAUAUAAAUGUCUUAAUGUUUUGGCUUCAUUUUAAUAAAGCUUUUAUUAAAUAGUGUCUUUCAGAGAGAGUGGUAGCUGUUUUGCAAAGAAAAUGUAAAAUCUUUUUCCAAAUUAUAAAAUUACUUGAUUAUUGUUAUACUUGGUGAAAGCCAAAUUAAAAUUAUUUAUAGGUUAAUGGGCUACUUUACUAAUAUUUGUCAGAUGAGAUCUUUAAUAAAAGAUGUGACAUAAAUUUAUAGAACAUUUUUCAUGGUGAAUAUGACUCAAAUUUUAUUUUUAAAUUGGAACAGAAAAAUAUAAGAAAUAUAAAUAGAUAUAAUGAAUAUAAAUCAAUUUCUUAAUACUUUCUACUCUGACAAUAUCAAAAUUACUUAUUUAUAUGCUCUUUGAAUCCUAGAAAAAAGGUAGUAGUUUAAGUAUUUAGUAAUGUACUAAAAUUAAAAUGACUUUAAAGAAGGAUUCAGGUAUUUCACGGUAAACUUCCUUUGAUUUUAAGUUGCCAACUGAUAGAAUGCAAAAGUGAUAACUUUCUGAAUACUGUUGCUGUAAACAAGCAUAUAUCCAGUUCCUGCUGUGUGAAAAGAAGCCAAAUGUAAUGAUUGUGGUCUUAUUCAAUGACAAAGUGCUGAUGAUAUUAUUUCCAUAGACAGUACAAUUCUGCAGCUGGCUCUGUCAGUCUAGGAAGAGAGCUCACUAAAUAAAGCCCAUGAAGUAAUUUGCAAUUCAGGGGCAGCAUUUUAAAGGAAAUGAGCUGAAAGUCUGCUCAUUAAAGUUAAAGGAAACCUGGUGCUUCUUUUUCUUUUCAAUAUAUUUGUUUCUUCAAAGUAUAGCUUGCAUAGCCCUUAUUGGGAAUUCAGGAAAAGGUGACAGUGUUAAAAAUUUUACUUUUUGGAAAAGUUCUUUGGAGGCAGAUCUUUUGGAGAUAGAUCUUCCAGACACCUAAAAAAAUUAUUUAGGUGUCUGGGAUUUAAACCUACGUUGCAUGUUUCAUUUGAGACAUGUAAGAAAUGUGUUUCAGAGGCAUUUGUUAAUUGUCUGUUUCCUCACAGUGUAAGGCUGUCAAGCAUAUAAAUGCAUGAGCCCCAGUGACUUGAAAGCAGAGUCAGAGUUGCUACCUGCCUUCUUGGCUCAAUGGAAAUGCAAGUGAACUGUACAGCAUUCAAUGGACCAAUAACCGGGGCAAAAUCAGAAAAUACUGGAGGAUGUUUUCCAUCUAAUCAAGAAAGUUAAGCAAGAGAAAGACAUGGAAUCCAGGAAACCCAAGGUCUAAUUCAGAAGAGAGAAGAGAAGAAUCCCCAGAAAUGAAAGACAGUGGAGAGGGCUCAAGAAAAGCCCUGAGCUCCAGCUGCACUGGAACUGGUCCAGAUGGAAGAAAAGACUCCCUGAGGUAUCUAAGAAGGGGAAAUGAGUAGACUUAUAGAACGAUACUUAAAGACAUUGAAAACACCAAGAGCAGACUUAGACAGUUUGAGGUGUUAGUGCUAAAACUGUCUAGAAUUAUUCUUCCCAGUACCAUCGCCACCUGCUACAUGUGGCUGUUUGGAUUUAAGUCAAAUUAAAAAGUCUAAAACUU